rnacentral:rRNA from 1 species
UACGAAGGGGGCUAGCGUUGCUCGGAAUCACUGGGCGUAAAGCGCGCGUAGGCGGCUUUGUAAGUUAGAGGUGAAAGCCCGGGGCUCAACCCCGGAAUUGCCUUUAAGACUGCAUCGCUUGAAUCCGGGAGAGGUGAGUGGAAUUCCGAGUGUAGAGGUGAAAUUCGUAGAUAUUCGGAAGAACACCAGUGGCGAAGGCGGCUCACUGGACCGGCAUUGACGCUGAGGUGCGAAAGCGUGGGGAGCAAACAGG